rnacentral:rRNA from 1 species
CGCGUGAGAAUCUACCCUUAGGAGGGAAAUAACAGUAGGAAACCGCUGCUAAAGUCCCAUAUACCUUUUGGUGAAAUAGAGUAAUCUGCCUAAGGAAGAGCUCGCGUCUGAUUAGCUAGUUGGUGGGGUAAAUGCCCACCAAGGCGAUGAUCAGUAGUUGGUUUGAGAGGAUGAUCAGCCACACUGGGACUGAGACACGGCCCAGACUCCUACGGGAGGCAGCAGUGAGGAAUUUUCCGCAAUGGGCGAAAGCCUGACGGAGCAAUACCGCGUGAGGGAUGACGGCCUUUGGGUUGUAAA